UACAGAGGGUGCAAGCGUUAAUCGGAAUUACUGGGCGUAAAGCGCGCGUAGGCGGCUGCUUAAGUCGGAUGUGAAAUCCCCGGGCUCAACCUGGGAACUGCACUCGAUACUGGGCGGCUAGAGUAUGAGAGAGGGAGGUAGAAUUCCACGUGUAGCGGUGAAAUGCGUAGAUAUGUGGAGGAAUACCGGUGGCGAAGGCGGCCUCCUGGCUCAAUACUGACGCUGAGGUGCGAAAGCGUGGGGAGCAAACAGG
rnacentral:rRNA from 1 species